AUGGCGGCAGUGUCCAAGAAGGCUCUGGUAACUAUGGCUGUUCUGGCGUUGGCCGUUCUGGCCCCGCCUGUCGCCGGGCUGGUGCCGUACGGCGUCAGCAGCGGGCUGUGGGACCUGCUCGACGACCCGUUCCGGGUGCUGGAGCAGACACCGCUCGCGGUGCAGAGGCCGGCGUCCGCAGGCGGCCCGGGAGCGUCCAUCCCUUCGGCGGUGGCGCUGGCGAGGUGCGACUGGAAGGAGACACCCGACGCGCACGUCAUCUCGCUCGACGUGCCCGGGGUGAGGCGGGAUGAUGUGAAGGUGGAGGUAGAGGAGAACCGGGUGCUGCGGGUCUCCGGCGAGCGCAAGGCGGACGAGGAGAAGGAGGGCGAGCGGUGGCACCGCGCCGAGCGCGCGGCGGGGAGGUUCUGGCGACGGUUCCGCAUGCCCGCCGGCGCCGACGUCGACCGCGUUACCGCGCGCCUCGAGGACGGCGUGCUCACCGUCACAGUGCCCAAGAUUGCGGAGCACCAAAGGCGAGAGCCGCGCGUCAUCAACAUCGCCGGGGAGGACGCCAACAGCGGCGGCAAGGGCGCGGACGCGGAGGUCAGGCCGUCGAAGGCCGAGAUGUAA
rnacentral:rRNA from 1 species